UACGGGGGGGGCAAGCGUUGUUCGGAAUUACUGGGCGUAAAGGGCUCGUAGGUGGCCAACUAAGUCAGACGUGAAAUCCCUCGGCUUAACCGGGGAACUGCGUCUGAUACUGGACGGCUUGAGUUUGGGAGAGGGACGCGGAAUUCCAGGUGUAGCGGUGAAAUGCGUAGAUAUCUGGAGGAAUACCGGUGGCGAAGGCGGCAUCCUGGACCGACAUUGACGCUGAGGAGCGAAAGCUAGGGGAGCAAACGGG
rnacentral:rRNA from 1 species